rnacentral:tRNA from 1 species
AAAUAAUGAAGUAAAAUUUUACAAUUAGUUUCGACCUAAUAAUUAGGUUAACAUAACCCUUAUUUA